AAGGCCAUACAAAGAAAACUUUGCACCAACUAUUAGUUGAAAUGGAUGGUUUUGAACAAAAUGAGGUACACGAUAACAAGCUUAGUAUCUCUGACUUAAAUAAGUUCAUUGGUGCAAAGUUUUCUUUGUAUGGCCUUNUUUUAGCUGCUUGAAAUAAGGAUCUCACACGCCGAGCACCAACACCAACAAACAUUUCCUCAAAUUCAGAUCCUGCCCUAUAGAAAAAGGGUACCCCAGCUUCUCCAGCAAUAGCCUUGGCAAGCAAUGUUUUUCCUGUACCAGGUGCUAUAUAUAUAUAUACACUUGCACAAACCUUUGGCAGCUUUCCCCCAAGGCGAGUAAAUUUUGAUGGGUUUUUUAAGUACUCCACUACUUCCUCAAGCUCCUGUUUUGCAUCAUCACAACCUUUGACAUCCUUAAAUGUUUUAAC
rnacentral:misc_RNA from 1 species